rnacentral:tRNA from 1 species
GGUGGGGUUCCCGAGUGGCCAAAGGGAACAGACUGUAAAUCUGUCGGCUAUAGCCUUCGGAGGUUCGAAUCCUCCCCCCACCACCA